rnacentral:lncRNA from 1 species
UUAUUCUCAUUACACCUAUAAAUAUAUAGACCUGAAUCAAGCGAUUUUCCUAAAUUCCUUGAUAGGUCAACGUCAAAAGACCAAGGUAGCCUGUUGUCACCUGGCAUUUAGCUUUUGACCCUAUGCGCCUAUAAAUUGUGUUUGUGUUAUGGGGAAGGGGGAUUUUGAAAUUAUUGAAUUAUCGGUGCUGGCAAUUACCGAAAAUAAGUACCCAAGUACAGUAAUAAGCCCCUGUGACAGGAUGAAACAGUUUAAAAAGAAAUAAUCUACAGGACA